AAUUAACAGAGAUAAUUCAAGCUAAAUCUUAUUAGUGCUCUCGUUUAUAUGAAAUGGCAGACGACAAGUGAACAUCAAGUUAUCGCUACACUAUGUCCUGUCCUGCUCCACUUAAUACUCUUAUGUAUAUUUUUGUCCUACUAUCUCAUACUUACCCAUACAUUUUAUAAGCCUGGCUCUCUUUAGGAUAGUGUUUUUUUGUUUUUUGACAACUUGUUUUGUAUGAAUACUUAUUCUUCUGUAAAAUAAUUUGUUUGCCAUGCACUACUCGCGGCGGCCACCACGGUUGUCGCAGUGUGUAAGCGAGAGGUCCCGUCCGCAUCCCGGAGCGGCGUGCGGACCCGCAUCCAAUGCGAAGAUCGCCUACGUUGCCUGCGUGCUCUACUGCUCGCCAUCGUCACCAUGCUGUCGAGAACCGGGCCGCGACGGUGGCGCCCUCGCUCGGCUCGGUCUCGCGUGAAAGCUGCUCGGCGCCGCUCCUGCUCCGUGCCUCACUGCAGCAGCACAUCUAGGUCGCUGUCAAGGUACAUCGAGUACAGCGCCGUCGAGACGCAGAGCUACGCGCGCUCCACGCCGAAGGCAAGCCUCCCUCACUAACUAAUGACAUAUUUAUUGUGUAUUAUCAUGGUGUUAUUUAAUAUUAAAAGCUCUGCUAUAUUUGUACUAGACUGAUGGAUGUUUGUAUAGGAAUUUAUCGUUACGUGACUAGUAAACAUCUUAUGAUAUUACAGUAUAUUUAAGAGUGAAGUAUGUACAUUAAUAUUUAAAUAAUUUAUGUUUUUUUAAUAUAGCGUAUUUUGUACUUAUUCCGUUUGUUUUGAGAUCACUCCUGGGGAUUGUAAUAAAAUUGACCAAAAUCAA